UCCUGGGAGGGGCAGCCCCUGG
rnacentral:miRNA from 1 species